GCCAGUCUUGCAGUCUUCUCGCUUUUCCCGUUUCACGUCGCUCGCGACGCCUGACGUUCACCGAUUCUGCUGCUCGGCUCGAUUAAACCAAACAGCAAAAACCAAAAAGACCUUUUUUUUCAUUUCGUCGACGACUUCGUUCUUUUUCUUGCUUGGCUCGUGAAGCGACUGCAGCGAGUGGAAUUACCGCAACGUGCACGGUCGUGGCUGUAGGAAGGGGUAACUCGGGCUUCGCUCUGGCUUUUUUUCGGGAAGAAAUGUCUUUUCGACAUCUGGAGUAGCAGAAAAUGAAAGAAGCGUUAGAAGAGAUGAAACUGAGCUGUGGAGCUCAGCCUGAGGAUGCUGAAAGUCGAUGACGAAAACACAAAGCAGUCACGUGACCGCCAAACUUAGGAGGAGCGGAGGACGAGGGAACGAUGAUGAUAGCGGAUGGAGUAGGAGUUGGAGGAUGGAGAAUGGAGUGAACUCAGGAGCAGGUGAACACAGCUGUGGACCGCCAUGGGCUCUCUCUCUUCUUUUUUUCCCCUUGGCUUCUCUGUCUCGGAGGUUCUGAGGAGACGGCAGGGGCCAGCCAGCGAGCGCUGGAGUGGGCAGGCAGAGGCGGGCUGCUGCACCCGCCGGCUAGCGGCUCGGCGGCACCGAAGAGGGAGGGAAAUCGAUGCGGAGGAAAGAGGCUGCCAGGGGUCGCCCAACGCAGCCUCCGGCCAUGGCACCGUGGGAUUCCAAAACGCUCGCCUAUCCCUCGCCCUACCCGCUCCCAGUCAACUCACAUCAGCCUGAGAGAGAGAGAGGGCCAGAAGCACCAGCGAUGCUCCAUGUGAAAGAGCAAGAGAGAGUGUGCGCGUAUGUAUAUGUGUGUGGUUCCGCCGGAGGGACUUUCCAGCCCCAGCACCACUUGAUAAAACUUUGUCUGUGAGGAGAACGAGUAGAAAAAGAGUGUCAAAGGUCCUUCCCCCCACCCCCCACACCCUCCUCAAUUCCUUUUUUCCGUAAGUGCACAUUCCCUGUGACUGUUUGAAUGAACGCUUGACGGAGGAUCCCUCUCACUGUGAAUUGAGGAGGCCUUCUUUUUUUUUUACAGACCCUCCUCCAAGCAUGUACAAAGUGCUCUACAUCAGAUGAGCUGGCAAGAGAGGACAACUUGAACUUUUCUCUUUUUUCCCUUUUUUGAGGACAUUUUUUUCACCUUUUCAGUUGUAGAUUAAAUUAGAUGAUUUUUUUAAAUACUCAGUACCUUUUGAGAGCUUCUGAAAAAGGCUUUGGUUUUGAUCCACAUCAAGAGGUUUUGCACUGCCCUCAUGUACUUACUGCAAAAUUGCUGCUCCCUGGACCCCUGCAGUACUAGUUCUGAUAAGAUCAGGUUGAAAGGGAAGGCAGAGCGGACCAAGCUUCAAAAUGUGAUGAAUUUUCUGAUAUUGGUCCUUAGCCUUAUGCUAAUACAGUGUCCAUUUGGCAUAAGGGAUGCUCCGUUUCUUCCCUCCAGAACUUAGUGGAAUGAACUGAGGGGCUCAUUAUGCUGAGAGUAAUACAUGUCCUUGUGGAUGCUUUGAGGAGUGACGCUUGCCAGGAGAGGAGUCCUAAACCUUCUCAACCUUCUCAACCAACUGGAUCCAAAAUGGUGUUAUGAAUUGCAGAAACACCUCCCUCAUAAUUACUGGACGUCUGUUUCAGAGGACAUGGCUUAAAUGAAUGAAAAGAAAAUGGAUAUGGCAAUGAAAUUUUAUUCUGAAUGGUUAUAUAUAGAGGUUUGCUCUGUACAUUGUCUGGGUAAGUAUUUUGGACCUUAAAAAAGGUAAGUUUCUGGUUUUGUCUUCUGGUGCAGCAGAAAUGGAGGACAAAAUAAUAAUAACUUUAUUUGUAGAGCUCUCGUCAUACAACUUUGCAGACGGCUGAUAAGGUUUAACAGUAAAAGAAAGGAAUAAUUCAAGUUAUAUAUUUCUAAUCAUAAUAUUCCAAUUAAUUGUUCCAGAUGUUUUCAAUGUCUUUAUAUCUGCUAAAACUUUUUUUUUUCAUACAAUUGCUGUGCAUAUGAAGAAAAACAGUGCGAAAAAAAUGUAUCAAAAAUGAGUGAAAAAAUAAAAGUGAAAACUGAAUUCA